rnacentral:rRNA from 1 species
UACGUAGGGCGCGAGCGUUGUCCGGAAUUAUUGGGCGUAAAGAGCUCGUAGGCGGCCUGUCGCGUCCGCUGUGAAAUCCCGGGGGCUUAACCCCCGGGCCUGCAGUGGAUACGGGCAGGCUGGAGGCAGGCAGGGGGGAACGGAAUUCCCGGUGUGAGCGGUGAAAUGCGCAGAUAGUCGGGAGGAACACCGGUGGCGAAGGCGGUUCUCUGGGCAACAACUGACGCUGAGGAGCGAAAGCGUGGGGAGCGAACAGG